UUAGUAGCGAAGUAGCUGAUUUCACACUGUCAAGAAAAGUCUCUAUCGAGGUUAAAGGUACCCGUACCGCAAACCGACACAGGUGGGUGAGGAGAGUAUCCUAAGGCCAGCGAGAGAACUGUUGUUAAGGAACUCGGCAAAAUGACCCCGUAACUUAGGGAUAAGGGGUGCCACCAUCAGGUGGCCGCAGAGAAUAGGCCCAAGCGACUGUUUACCAAAAACAUAGGUUUCUGCUAAGUCGCAAGACGAUGUAUAGGAGCUGACGCCUGCCCGGUGCUGGAAGGUUAAGGGGAUCUGUUAGAGCAAUCGAAGCAGUGAACUUAAGCCCCAGUAAACGGCGGCCGUAACUAUAACGGUCCUAAGGUAGCGAAAUUCCUUGUCGGGUAAGUUCCGACCCGCACGAAAGGCGUAACGAUUUGGGCACUGUCUCAACAACAGACUCGGUGAAAUUGUAAUUCCGGUGAAGAUGCCGGAUACCUGCGACAGGACGGAAAGACCCCAUGGAGCUUUACUGUAGCUUGACAUUGGGUCUUGGUACUACAUGUACAGGAUAGGUGGGAGGCUUUGAAACCAGGACGCCAGUUUUGGCGGAGCCAUCCUUGGGAUACCACCCUUGUA
rnacentral:rRNA from 1 species